AUUGAACGCUGGCGGCAGGCCUAACACAUGCAAGUCGAGCGAGCGGCGGACGGGUGAGUAAUGUCUGGGAAACUGCCUGAUGGAGGGGGAUAACUACUGGAAACGGUAGCUAAUACCGCAUACCAUCAGAUGUGCCCAGAUGGGAUUCGCUUGUAGGUGGGGUAACGGCUCACCUAGGCGACGAUCCCUAGCUGGUCUGAGAGGAUGACCAGCGACACUGGAACUGAGACACUGGCCAGACUCCUACGAGAGGCAGCAGUGGGGAAUAUUGCACAAUGGGCGCAAGCCUGAUGCAGCCAUGCCGCGUGUGUGAAGAAGGCCUUCGGGUUGUAAAGCACUUUCAGCGGGGAGGCGUUACCCGCAGAAGAAGCACCGGCUAACUCCGUGCCAGCAGCCGCGGUAAUAC
rnacentral:rRNA from 1 species